ACCUUCGUUGUGUAGUGGUCAACACGCUUGGCGUGUUUUCGAGAGGUCCGUGGUUCGAGUCCCGGCGAAGGCA
rfam:Stegodyphus mimosarum contig40677, whole genome shotgun sequence.